rnacentral:rRNA from 1 species
CACCGCCCGUCACACCACGAAAGCCAGCUGCACCAGAAGUCGCCGCGCCAACCGCAAGGAGGCAGGCGCCCAAGGUAUGGUCGGUGAUUGGGGUG